GCUCGCUUCGGCAGCACAUAUACUAAAACUAGAAGCAUACAGAGACGAUAAGCAAGGCCCCUGUGCAAGCAUGACAUGCACAUUCGUGAAGCGGUCCAAGCACUG